GUAGCUGAACAUCUUACGGAUGGCCCAGGGCUCCAAAGGCUCGUUUCCUAAGUGAGAGAGAGCCUGGCUGAAGCUGUAUUACCAUUCAUUCUCCAGCCUCCGAAGUCUCAAAGCAUCACUUCCACCAUACUCUAACUGUCAAGACAAACACAAAGGCCCAGAAACUGCCAGACUGUCUUCUGAAGUGGCUAUAAUAUUUACACUCCCAUCAGCAGUGUAGAAGGGGUCUCACUAUGUUGUCUGGAGUGCUGUGGUGGAGUGGAGUGGCUAUUCACAGAGCCUGUUCUGCUGGGACACAGAAUCACUUGCUCCAUCUCAUACAUUGAUGAUGAUUAAUUUGUAUGUGUACCUUCCAAAAAAGAUGGUUGUGUUUGAAUGGAGGCCUUCUGGACAGGAAAAUUGCAAAGUACAAUUAACAUUUGAGUCUGUCUGAGUCAUGAAGAAAUGGAGAUUACUGAAAAUAAUUCAUUUUGGUAUCUUCUUACAUCCUGAGAGACUAAUCUUUCCAAGUUCAUCUGAGGCUCCUCUUCUCCAUGACAACCUCAUCCAGGGAUUUCUUCCUGUCCUGGUGUUUUAUGACAUAAUCACAUCCUUCCUGAGAUAAUGAGCACACAAUUGCCUGGAUACCUGAAGGAAUGGAGACAGCGGCAGAAAACACUGCAGAGAGGUGGAAACAUCCGUUAAUAUUUUAAAAUCCCAUUACUGCUACCAACAAUAAUAAUGGAUGCAUAGAAAUAGAUCUGGAUUAGCUGAGCUUGAAACAGUCCAUCUCACACACACACAAAAGAAUUUCAGAUACAGUGAACCCACAUGUUGAAGCUUUCUAGUAUAAUAAAAAUUUCAACUGUUCUGUUGAAUCAUCUGCCUGAUUGGAGGCUACAGAAAAGAUGUCAUCUUAGGAGUGCUUGCUCUGAGUGAGGCUCAUCUUCAAAUCUGAAUGACCACAAGGAGAUUUGAUUAUACAUGUGAACACCUCAGAAGGCACAGCCCACCCAGAAGGCAGACAGAAGAAGCUGCCAGGAAGACUGUGAAAUCUUCAUGCCCAAGGAUCCCUAAAAUUAGGAGCAACAACCACUUGGCUCAGACGGUUUAUGGAGGCAAAGGUUUGGAUGGGAUUAGAGAUUUCUAAAUGAGGAGACAGACACUAGAGCUCACCGGCUCGCCCUCUCACUCCUACUCAUCUGAGAAGGCAGCCAGCUAACCCUUCAGCCAGGAAGAGGGUCCUCAUCAGAACCUGGCCGUGGUGGCAUCCAGAUCUUGAACCUCCGGACUCCAGACUGUGAGAAAAUAAGUGUGUUGUUUAAACUA
rnacentral:lncRNA from 1 species